rnacentral:rRNA from 1 species
UACGUAGGGACCAAGCGUUGUUCGGAUUUACUGGGCGUAAAGGGCGCGUAGGCGGCGUGGUAAGUCACUUGUGAAAUCUCUGAGCUUAACUCAGAACGGUCAAGUGAUACUGCUGUGCUAGAGUGCGGAAGGGGCAAUCGGAAUUCUUGGUGUAGCGGUGAAAUGCGUAGAGAUCGGGAGGAACACCUGUGGCGAAGGCGGCCAGCUGGGCCGGACCUGACGCUGAGACGCGAAGGCGUGGGGAGCGAACGGG